rnacentral:rRNA from 1 species
UACGUAGGGUGCAAGCGUUGUCCGGAAUUAUUGGGCGUAAAGAGCUCGUAGGCGGUCUGUCGCGUCGGCUGUGAAAACCCGGAGCUCAACUCCGGGCCUGCAGUCGAUACGGGCAGACUGGAGUUCGGCAGGGGAGACUGGAAUUCCUGGUGUAGCGGUGAAAUGCGCAGAUAUCAGGAGGAACACCGGUGGCGAAGGCGGGUCUCUGGGCCGAUACUGACGCUGAGGAGCGAAAGCGUGGGAGCGAACAGG